rnacentral:rRNA from 1 species
GAUGAACGCUGGCGGCGUGCUUAACACAUGCAAGUCGAACGGUGAAGCAGGAGCUUGCUCCUGUGGAUCAGUGGCGAACGGGUGAGUAACACGUGAGCAAUCUGCCCUGGACUCUGGGAUAAGCGUUGGAAACGACGUCUAAUACCGGAUACGAGGCGUGGGGGCAUCCCCAACGCCUGGAAAGAACUUCGGUCCAGGAUGAGCUCGCGGCCUAUCAGGUAGUUGGUGGGGUAACGGCUCACCAAGCCUACGACGGGUAGCCGGCCUGAGAGGGUGACCGGCCACACUGGGACUGAGACACGGCCCAGACUUCUACGGGAGGCAGCAGUGGGGAAUAUUGGACAAUGGGCGCAAGCCUGAUCCAGCCAUGCCGCGUGCAGGAAGACGCAUCUAUGGUGUGUAAACUGCUUUUGUACGGGAAGAAACACUCCCUCGUGAGGGAGCUUGACGGUACCGUAAGAAUAAGGAUCGGCUAACUCCGUGCCAG